rnacentral:lncRNA from 1 species
UUUGCUUAAAAUAAAAAAAAUUAAUGAAAAAUAAAAAACUAGAGAAGAAGAAAGAAGAAGAAAUUGCACUGUUAAAAUAAAGGUAUACUGUUUUAGAAGAACGUCACACUAUUAUAAACGUAAGUUGCACUCUUUGAUAUAUAAAUUGUACCAUUUAAGAUUAAAGUUACAUUCUUUAAACCAAAGUUACACUCUUUGAGAGGAGAAACAAUAUAACUAUCUCCCAAAGAGUGUAACUUUUAUAAUAUAACUAUCUCCCAAAUAGUGCAGCUUUUAUUUAAAAGUAUAAUUUUUAUCUUAAAUGGUACUCUUUGGAAGGAGAAAUAAUAUAAUUAUCUCUCAAAGAGUACAAUUUUUAUUUAAAGAGUGUAACUUUCAUCUUAAAUGGUGCAACUUAUAUAUCAAAGAGUGCAACCUACAUCUAUAACAGUUCAACGUUCUUCUAAAAUAGUGUAACUUUAUCUU